AAGGGUCCGUAAAACGGUAAAUUAAGCGACUUUUAUAAUGAAAAAAGAAAUUAAAUCGAACUAAUUUACUAGAGUCUUAUAGAGGAACAGAGGAAUUGCAAGAGUAAGGAUAAAAUCUAUUGAUACUUGUAGGACCGCCAAUGGCGAAGGCAUCGUUCCAGGUAUAGACUGACGUUGAGGGACGUAGGCGUUGGGAGCGAAAAGGAUUAGAUACCCCUGUAGUCAACGCUGUAAACGAUGAGUGCUUAAGAUUAGUUAAAAAUAAUAAUUGUUUUGAAGGACAAUUCAAAAUUAGUCUCGAAAUGAAGAUGUUAAGCACUUCACCUGGGGAGUACUGUCGCAAGGCUGAAACCCAAAACAUUAGACGGUCACGGAAACCAGCAGUGAAGCAUGUUAUUUAAUACGAUGAUCCGCGUACAACCUUACCACUUCUUGAAUGUCCUUUUUUUUAAAGGCCUAUUUAAUUAAUAUUAAAAAUUUUUGCUGUCCUUAUGAUUAAUUCAUAAGUUAAAGCCGAAAUUAUUUUUUUGAUGAAAUUAAAUUUGGAUAAAUACAACAUUUAAUAAUAAUUAUUAUUAUUAUUAUUAAAUUAGUAUAAUCCUAUUUAUUAUUUAAACAACAUUAAUUAAAUUUGGAUAAAUACAACAGGCGUUGCAUGGCUGUCUUCAGUUCGUGUCGUGAGAUGUCAGGUUCAUUCCGGUAAACGAAUGAAACCCUUCUUUCUUAAUUUUUAAUUUAUAUUCUUUUCUUUGAAAUAAGUUAGAAUUAAAUUCAUUAAGAUGAUUCUUGGAUAACGAGGAUAUAAUGGGGGAUUAAGACAAGUCGUCAUGGCCUUUAUGAAGUGGGCUAUAGACGUGCCACAAGAGCCUUUACAAUAGGAUGCUAAGACGUGAGUCAGCGCUAAACCUUAAAAAAGGCUAUGUUCGGAUUGUAGUCUGCAACUCGACUACAUGAAGCAGGAAUUGCUAGUAAUCGUAA
rnacentral:rRNA from 1 species